rnacentral:lncRNA from 1 species
GUGUUUUCUCUGUUGGUAUUGGUCAAUUCAAGGCAACAUUAAAGUCUGUGAACACCACCAAGAUUUGAAUGACUCCAUCUUAACCUAGGAGAUGAUGUCAGCUGAAAAGACUUGAAGACUGCAGAUGAAUCAAAGGCAGGAGUGUCUCCAUGGCUGGGGAAAGAAAUCAUCUGAAGUCAUCUUCAUUCACAUGUUUAGCUGUUGAUACUGCCUGUUGUCAGGACUCUCAGCUGGGGCUGUCCCAUGGAAACUUAUGUAUGGCCUCUCCAUGUAGCCUGGGUUGCCUCACAGCAUGACGGCCUUGGACAUCUUACCUGGUGCUCAGGGCUCCAAAGGGGCUGGUGCUGUAUGCUUUUGGAUAGUAGAUGGAGGAAAACAAGAAAAAGUGGUCAUGGUGCAAUAGUCAUCUGAUACUUUCAACAUUUACCAUGGCUUCCAUUCGCUCUACAGACUCCAGAUGAACUCGGUUUUCCAAUAUCAACUCUACCAAUCCCUACCCUCCAGUACCAGGACGUUCAGCAUAGCUGAAGGAUGUCACAAAAUUAUGAUGUAGUAUUCUCUAUGUUUUUCUUAAGUUGUAACUUCACUUAAGUUUCAUAGGUACUUAGCAAUUUUUGUAUACUUCUUGCUGCAAGAAUCAUGGUGACUGUUUCAAGGAUCUUACAAUUUGCUUUUGCCAUUUAGUAUAGUCUGCCUUAUGUUUUAUGUGUGUGUGUUUGUAUGUGUAUAAUUUCUGACUACAUCCUAGAGCUUGGUCCUAAGUUUUAAUAAAUUUUUACAGCCUCUAAGUCCAUAUUUAUUUAACAAAUAUUUAUUGAAUA